rnacentral:rRNA from 1 species
AUGGAAUUUACAUUGGCACUAAAUAAGGAAUAUUGGAAGAUAGUAUGCCACAGUAUCUGUUACGAGUCAAUCAAAUUAUGGUUCUUGGUUGAAGCCCUCUUGAUGAACGACACCCCAUGCAGUAGCGACAAUGACCACAUGGAAGAGAUUAAGAACAUCAGCAACAUCUUGCGGUGUUCCUCCUCAUCGUUGUUGUCACCACCGAAUAAUGACGACCAGCUCAUUAGACCGCUACUAGAGCAUUGGAGCCUUCUUGAGAAGGCAACACACCUGAGAUCGGGCGAGAGUGAGCGAGAGAGAUCGAGGGAGGGAGGGAAGGGGGGAUUGGAAGAGAGAUCUUGCACACAUUGGUAG